UACGGAGGAUCCAAGCGUUAUCCGGAUUUAUUGGGUUUAAAGGGUGCGUAGGCGGGAGAGUAAGUCCGCGGUGAAAUCUCACGGCUCAACCGUGAAACUGCCGUUGAUACUGCUUUUCUUGAGUUCGGGAGAGGUUGAUGGAAUUCCAGGUGUAGCGGUGAAAUGCGUAGAUAUCUGGAAGAACACCAGUGGCGAAGGCGGUCAACUGGCCCGUAACUGACGCUGAGGCACGAAAGCGUGGGGAGCGAACAGG
rnacentral:rRNA from 1 species